UACGUAGGGCGCAAGCGUUGUCCGGAAUUAUUGGGCGUAAAGAGCUCGUAGGCGGCUUGUCACGUCGGGUGUGAAAGCCCGGGGCUUAACCCCGGGUCUGCAUUCGAUACGGGCAGGCUAGAGUGUGGUAGGGGAGAACGGAAUUCCCGGUGUAGCGGUGAAAUGCGCAGAUAUCAGGAAGAACACCCGUGGCGAAGGCGGCUCUCUGGGACGGUACUGACGCUGAGACGCGAAAGCGUGGGGAGCGAACAGG
rnacentral:rRNA from 1 species